rnacentral:misc_RNA from 1 species
UUUCCGUAGGUGAACCUGCGGAAGGAUCAUUAUUGUAUAACCGAGGUGCGAGGGCUGCCGCUGACCGGAAACGUCGUGCACGCCCGAGUGCCCUCACCCACAUCCAUCUCACCCCUUUGUGCACCACCGCGUGGGUCCCCCUUUGGCUUGUUCGGAGGGGGGCUUACGUUUUCACACAAACUUUGUAUGCUGUGUAGAAUGUAUUUUUUGUUUUUGCGGUCACGCAAUCAAUACAACUUUCAACAACGGAUCUCUUGGCUCUC